rnacentral:rRNA from 1 species
ACGCUCGACACCUACGGGAGACAGCAGUGGGGAAUAUUGCACAAUGGGGGAAACCCUGAUGCAGCGACGCCGCGUGAAGGAAGAAGUAUCUCGGUAUGUAAACUUCUAUCAGCAGGGAAGAAAAUGACGGUACCUGACUAAGAAGCCCCGGCUAACUACGUGCCAGUAGCCGCGGUAAUCUGAGCGGGCUGGCAAGGC